GGCUCAGGACGAACGCUGGCGGCGUGCUUAACACAUGCAAGUCGAACGGGGUCCUGGUUGGUGGCAACACCUUCCAGUACCUAGUGGCGAACGGGUGAGGAACACGUGAGCAACCCACCCCGAACUCUGGGAUAACAGCGGGAAACCGCUGCUAAUACCGGAUACCUUCCUGCGGUCGCAUGGCCGUGCGAAGAAAGGGUUACUGGUUCGGGACGGGCUCGCGGCCUAUCAGCUUGUUGGUGGGGUAACGGCCUACCAAGGCUUCGACGGGUAGCUGGUCUGAGAGGAUGAUCAGCCACACUGGGACUGAGACACGGCCCAGACUCCUACGGGAGGCAGCAGUGGGGAAUCUUGCGCAAUGGGCGAAAGCCUGACGCAGCAACGCCGCGUGCGGGAUGACGGCCCUCGGGUUGUAAACCGCUUUCAGCAGGAACGAAUCUGACGGUACCUGCAGAAGAAGGUCCGGCCAACUACGUGCCAGCAGCCGCGGUAACACGUAGGGACCAAGCGUUGUCCGGAUUUAUUGGGCGUAAAGAGCUCGUAGGCGGUUCGGUAAGUCGGGUGUGAAAACUCUGGGCUCAACUCGGAGAGGCCACCCGAUACUGCCGUGACUUGAGUCCGGUAGGGGAGCACGGAAUUCCUGGUGUAGCGGUGAAAUGCGCAGAUAUCAGGAGGAACACCGGUGGCGAAGGCGGUGCUCUGGGCCGGUACUGACGCUGAGGAGCGAAAGCGUGGGUAGCAAACAGGAUUAGAUACCCUGGUAGUCCACGCCGUAAACGUUGGGCACUAGGUGUGGGACCCCGCCAACGGGUUCUGUGCCGCAGCUAACGCAUUAAGUGCCCCGCCUGGGGAGUACGGCCGCAAGGGUUAAACUUAAAG
rnacentral:rRNA from 1 species